UAAACAUAUUCAAGACUAAAUCUAUGAAGUUUGCUGAGUUGGGAAAGUACAAAUCUCGCAGGAUUUAAGCAAAAAACAGAUUGUUCACUUAAUUGUUUGAAAAACAUCAUACGUAUUAAGCUCUACAGAUAUAGUUCAGCAGAUAGCAGACCAAGGUUUGCAACCAGAUUUUCAACAAUAUUGGAUAAUGAUUUAAAUCCAACAAAAAUUCCACCGGUAAACAUCAG
rnacentral:misc_RNA from 1 species